AUUAUCGUCGGGAGGGUACUCGUGGCAGCAGCCAGUAUUACAAUUCGUAGCAUCAUUUCAUAUGAAGAACAAACAAAUAUUUACCAAAAAAUAUACAGGGACAAAGGAUGGUGGACUAAAGUUUUCUCCAAAACGAUUGAGUGCAUUUAUGUAUAUUAUCGUUGUAGAAGUUGGAGUUGGAGUAAAUAUCGAGUUUCCACAUGCUUGACUUCACAAUGAUGUCGAGAACCAUCAACAUCAUAAAGAUGACCAGCAGCUUUAACAGAUCUAGUGACGCAUAACGAACCCAGCACUAACUGACCGCCAGCCAUGGAUCCACAAAAUAUUUUUAUUUUAUUUAACAAAUUCACAUAUGAAAGCAUCUCUUUUUCCCUUUUAUUUUUAGUUUUAUAUAUAAAAAAUAAAUGUAUUUUUUUGUUUU